GUAGCCACACAAGUGUCCAACCUCUAUGGAUAUCCACACGAGACUCUAAUCUAAUCAGAAGCCUUUUGAUUUCAUCAGGAUGCUAGAUCUCUUGUAGAGAUCAGAUCUUGAUGGUUGAAAAUCUUUUUUUUUUACUAAGACACUCGUAGAGAAUAAGAUGUAGGAGGAUCUUGAUCUCUAUGGUAGAGAUUAGGAGAAGAACCCUUUCUUCUCUUUUCUUCCUAAAAUUCAUGCACC
rnacentral:lncRNA from 1 species